UACAGAGGUCACAAGCGUUAUCCGGAGUUACUGGGCGUAAAGAGUCUGUAGCUUGUUUUGUAAGUCUUGAUUCAAAAACCUGGAUUCAAUCGAGGGGAGGGUCAGGAUACUGCAUUACUAGAGAUCAUUGGGGGUUAGUGGAAUUGCCGGUGGAGGGGUGAAAUCCGUUGAUAUCGGUAGGAACGCCAAAAGCGAAAGCAGCUAACUACAAUAUUCUGACAGUAAAGGACGAAAGCUUGGGGAUCGAACGGG
rnacentral:rRNA from 1 species